GCGUUCUGUAAGCCGUUGAAGGUGUGCUGUGAGGCAUGCUGGAGGUAUCAGAAGUGCGAAUGCUGACAUAAGUAACGAUAAAGCGGGUGAAAAGCCCGCUCGCCGGAAGACCAAGGGUUCCUGUCCAACGUUAAUCGGGGCAGGGUGAGUCGACCCCUAAGGCGAGGCCGAAAGGCGUAGUCGAUGGGAAACAGGUUAAUAUUCCUGUACUUGGUGUUACUGCGAAGGGGGGACGGAGAAGGCUAUGUCAGCCGGGCGACGGUUGUCCCGGUUUAAGCAUGUAGGCGGAGGUUCCAGGUAAAUCCGGUACCUUUUAACGCUGAGGUGUGAUGACGAGGCACUACGGUGCUGAAGUGAUAAAUGCCCUGCUUCCAGGAAAAGCCUCUAAGCAUCAGGUAACACGAAAUCGUACCCCAAACCGACACAGGUGGUCAGGUAGAGAAUACCAAGGCGCUUGAGAGAACUCGGGUGAAGGAACUAGGCAAAAUGGUGCCGUAACU
rnacentral:rRNA from 1 species